AUGAACGCUGGCGGCGUGCUUAACCCAUGCACGUCGAACGAAGCACUUUAUUUGAUUUCCUUCGGGACUGAUUAUUUUGUGACUGAGUGGCGGACGGGUGAGUAACGCGUGGGUAACCUGCCUUGUACAGGGGGAUAACAGUUGGAAACGGCUGCUAAUACCGCAUAAGCGCACGGCAUCGCAUGAUGCAGUGUGAAAAACUCCGGUGGUAUAAGAUGGACCCGCGUUGGAUUAGCUAGUUGGUGAGGUAACGGCCCACCAAGGCGACGGUCCAUAGCCGACCUGAGAGGGUGACCGGCCACAUUGGGACUGAGACACGGCCCAAACUCCUACGGGAGGCAGCAGUGGGGAAUAUUGCACAAUGGGCGAAAGCCUGAUGCAGCGACGCCGCGUGAGCGAAGAAGUAUUUCGGUAUGUAAAGCUCUAUCAGCAGGGAAGAUAAUGACGGUACCUGACUAAGAAGCACCGGCUAAAUACGU
rnacentral:rRNA from 1 species